rnacentral:rRNA from 1 species
UUGGUCAAUGGACGAGAGUCUGAACCAGCCAUGCCGCGUGCAGGAAGAAUGCCUUUGGGUUGUAAACUGCUUUUAUACAGGAAGAAUUGCAGAGACUUGUCUUUGUUUGACGGUACUGUAUGAAUAAGGACCGGCUAACUACGUGCCAGCAGCCGCGGUAAUACGUAGGGUCCAAGCGUUAUCCGGAAUUAUUGGGUUUAAAGGGUCCGUAGGCGGGCCUAUAAGUCAGAGGUGAAAUCUUACAGCUUAACUGUGAAAUUGCCUUUGAUACUGUAGGUCUUGAGUGUGAAUGAAGUGGGCGGAAUGAGAUGUGUAGCGGUGAAAUGCUUAGAUAUGUCUCAGAACACCGAUUGCGAAGGCAGCUCACUAAGCCACAACUGACGCUGAGGGACGAAAGCGUGGGUAGCGAA